GACGAACGCUGGCGGCGUGCUUAACACAUGCAAGUCGAACGGAAAGGCCCUGCUUUUGUGGGGUGCUCGAGUGGCGAACGGGUGAGUAACACGUGCGUAACCUGCCCUUGACUUUGGGAUAACUUCAGGAAACUGGGGCUAAUACCGGAUAGGAGCUCCUGCUGCAUGGUGGGGGUUGGAAAGUUUCGGCGGUUGGGGAUGGACUCGCGGCUUAUCAGCUUGUUGGUGGGGUAGUGGCUUACCAAGGCUUUUACGGGUAGCCGGCCUGGGAGGGUGACCGGCCACAGUGGGACUGAGAUACGGCCCAGACUCCUACGGGAGGCAGCAGUGGGGAAUAUUGCACAAUGGGCGGAAGCCUGAUGCAGCAACGCAGCGUGCGGGAUGACGGCCUUCGGGUUGUAAACCGCUUUCGCCUGUGACGAAGCGUGAGUGACGGUAAUGGGUAAAGAAGCACCGGCUAACUACGUG
rnacentral:rRNA from 1 species